AGUCACAAGACUUCAAACCUGUGACAAUGAAAGGUUCAUCUGGAGCUGCAGGGUGCUGUUCCACCCCUUCCUCAGUGGCUAGUGACGUGGAGUGCCCAGCCUCAGCUGUGUUAACAUAAGGCAGCAUCAUGUAAUCCAAGGAGGCUAAUGGAGAGGUCAGAAAUGAACUUUCCCCACUGGAUCCCCAAGUUUUUUUCUUGAAGAGGACAAAGAUGUUAAAAUAGCCCAGAAUAUGUUGGCGAAAUCUUUGGGCCAAGACAAGGGUGAAGUGUGGCAGAACAUCCUGCCUAUUGCGUUACGGACGGGUUCAGUACCUUCUGGAUUUCUCUCUGCAGCCAUCUCUAAAAUCCCAAUAAAUCCUCAAUGGCUAUGAAGAAGAUGAAUAGAACUGAAAGAUUCAAAUGAAUUUUCUGGAUUUUUGAAAGCAGAAAUCAGUGACUCAGAGGUUGUGUUCUCUAGUUGGCGUUUUGCAAGCCAUUGUGAUGACUUCAGACAACUGAUUUAACUCUACUAAGCCCAGUGUCCUCAUUUAUUGAAAAGAAAAAAGAUGAUGGGGGAGAUGAUUUUGAUGUUGCGCAUUGCUCUACUGCUGCUCUUUGGGGUUGAGAAAUGACUACCGUGAGAGAUUUCCAGGUAGACAACUGAUUUUCUUGGACUUCAGAUUUGGUUCAAAAUUAUGCAGUUCUCACUUGCAAAGUGAUGAGCAGCUCAAAACCAAGAGAAUGAAAUUAAAUCUGCCUGCAAAUGUUGAUACAGCAUGCUAGAUCUGUGUGUAUGAGAGAUCAUGUCUCCCUACAGCAGUGAACCUCCUCCGUGACAUGAGCUUCUUACUGCCAUCAAUAAUUAGUUCGUUUCAGAGGUACAUGCUUUUGGACGUGACAAUCCUGAGAUCUCAUACUCACUUGAAAGUUUGGGGGGGAAAUGUUGUAGUGGCACUGAUCUGUGCAGGCUUGCACAGAAUCUGGGCACUUUUUGCUCCAGUAUGUCACUAGCAUUACUUGA